UUCUAUCUUUAUCUCAGUUUCAUAAGUCUGUAGAAGAAUCAUUCAAAUGAAAACCUACGUCCUUCAUCACUGUCCUGCAUCUUUUCAAUGGAAAACUAAUAUCUAACCCCUAACCCUAGAUUUACUUCAAACAGAUUUGAUAUGGGUACGAGUAGAAAGUUAGGGUGGAAAAUACAGAAAUCGGGUUUUGCUGCAAGAAUCGAGAAUAAAUGGGUUUGCAUAGAUUGAAAUUGGUGGUUGGAUAUGUGGAUUUUGAAAGUUAUGGUUGGAUUUGAGAUUGAAAGUUAGGGUUUGAAAUUUGGAAGUUAGGAUUUGAGAUUUGUGGAUUUUGAAAGUUAGGGUUGGAUUUGAGAUUGAAAGUUGUGUGGAAAAGAUAGAAAUUGAAAGUUAGGGUUUGAGAUUGAAAGUUGCAUGGAAAAGAUAGAAAUUUAAGGGUUGGAUUUGGGAUUCUGAGAUUGAAUGUAUUCACAAUGAUUGAAUGGGUUUGCAGAGAACGAUGUUGGUGGUUUGAUUUGUGAAGUAAGUUUGCUUUAACUGGCUUGUGCAGAUGAAGUCAAGACGAUGAAGUGGUUCUGCCAUUUGAGAAUUGAAGUUGAUGCCGAGGAACUGAAGAUGGCAAUGUUGCUAGGUGUUGGUGCUGCUACAAAAUGGUGGUUGUGCAAUGAAUAGGCCUGAUUUAGGAGACAGGGAAUGAGAAUAUUCAGAAAAGGUAAAUUGCCAAGGAAUGAGAAUAUUGCAGGUGGUGGUGCUGUUAUUGAGUGUUGGAAAUGGUUGUCUUGUAAACAGUUAGGAAGUGGGUGCUGAUGUUAUUGCCAUUAUCACUGCUUGCCUUUCUCUCCCCAUCGAAAAGGUAAAUUGUUAUUUCAUUUAUCUGUUUCUGCAAUGAUUUUGAUUAUGUGUUUUUUGGAAUUGUGAGAUUUUGUGUUUCUUGACCUCAAUUUGGCUUUUUAUGUUGAAUUUUUUGUGUUUAUCUUGGUGCUUAGGGUAUUUAUGAAUUGGGGUUUAUCUGAUGGAUGCACUUCCCCCAUAAUUGUUAGCACAUGGGAUGUGAUAUGAAUGAUAAUGUAACAUUGUUGUUUAAUCAAAAAAAGUUGGUGUUCUUCUUUCGAAGAGGACUAUCAUUGUUUUUCAAGAUAAACUCAUUUCCUUUCUGAAGUUUUUGUUGUUUAUUUCUCAAGCUAGACUCAAAAAUCUUUUUCUGUGAGAAGCACAAAUAUGACUUCUAGUUCCAAUGUCCUGAUCUUGAAAUCUAAGUCAUCAAAUGCUGAAAGCAAGGAGAUGAAGAUCAAUAUGACACAAAGGAGAGUUGGUGUCCUGAUUCUGACAUGGAAGUUGACGACGAGAGCAGCCCUCUAUCAAAUAAGUCGCAGCCUGCAAGAAUGAAGAGAGAAGUCGUCGAACCUAACGUUAAAGAUAUGGUAUUUCGUGUCCUGAUCUCAAAUUUGAUUCACUUCAUGAGGAUCAGAAAGUUGCAGUAGAUCAAUUCAAAGGCGCGGAAACAAAAGCAGAAGAAAACUCAGGCUCUAAGGUAUGACAGAGGUCUUGAAGACCAUCAGUGUAGAAGAAUAAGAU